GCGGGUGUCGUAUAACGGCCAUUAUAUAACCUUCCCAAGGUUGGGACGGGGGUUCGACUCCCCCCACCCGCACCA
rnacentral:tRNA from 1 species